rnacentral:rRNA from 1 species
GACGAACGCUGGCGGCGUGCUUAACACAUGCAAGUCGAACGGAAAGGCUCAGCUUGCUGGAGUACUCGAGUGGCGAACGGGUGAGUAACACGUGGGUAAUCUGCCCUGCACUCUGGGAUAAGCCUGGGAAACUGGGUCUAAUACUGGAUAUGACCUUUCUCCUUAUGGGGUUUGGUGGAAAGUUUUUCGGUGUAGGAUGAGCCCGCGGCCUAUCAGCUUGUUGGUGGGGUGAUGGCCUACCAAGGCGACGACGGGUAGCCGGCCUGAGAGGGUGAUCGGCCACAUUGGGACUGAGAUACGGCCCAGACUCCUACGGGAGGCAGCAGUGGGGAAUAUUGCACAAUGGGCGGAAGCCUGAUGCAGCGACGCCGCGUGAGGGAUGACGGCCUUCGGGUUGUAAACCUCUUUCAGCAGGGACGAAGCGUAAGUGACGGUACCUGCAGAAGAAGCACCGGCUAACUACGUG